AACGACUCUCGGCAACGGAUAUCUCGGCUCUCGCAUCGAUGAAGAACGUAGCGAAAUGCGAUACUUGGUGUGAAUUGCAGAAUCCCGUGAACCAUCGAGUUUUUGAACGCAAGUUGCGCCCCAAGCCGUUAGGCUGAGGGCACGCUUGCCUG
rnacentral:rRNA from 1 species